rnacentral:rRNA from 1 species
AACGUAGGAGGCGAGCGUUAUCCGGAUUUACUGGGCGUAAAGCGCACGCAGGCGGCUUUACAAGUCGGAUGUGAAAGCUCCUGGCUUAACUGGGAGAGGCCAUUCGAAACUGUAGGGCUUGAGGUUGGGAGAGGGGUGUGGAAUUCCCGGUGUAGUGGUGGAAUGCGUAGAUAUCGGGAGGAACACCAGUGGCGAAAGCGGCACCCUGGCCCACACCUGACGCUGAUGUGCGAAAGCGUGGGGAG